AAGCUCGUAGUAGUUAAAUCAACAUGCAGUAUUCCUCUGUGUGAAGAAUCUUUUUUUGCUGGAGGAACAGAUUUUUACAUCUUGGCAAACUGAUGCUUCGUGUUAACAUCUAAUUCUUUUCUUUGUGCAGAAGAACUCAAAGAGAAACUAAAGAAGUAUGUUGAUGAAGUGAAUGCCCGUAAGCCUGGUUUCAUCAAGGUUGUCCGACACAACAAGCAAGAGGGGCUGAUUAGAUCUCGAGUUAGUGGAUGGAGAGUAGCCACAGCACCAGUAGUUGCUCUCUUUGAUGCCCAUGUGGAAUUCAAUGUGGGAUGGGCUGAACCAGUGCUUUCUAGGAUAAAGGAAAA